UGGGGAAUAUUGGACAAUGGGCGCAAGCCUGAUCCAGCCAUGCCGCGUGUGUGAAGAAGGCCUUAGGGUUGUAAAGCACUUUCAGUGGGGAGGAAGGGUGUUGUGCUAAUAGCACAGCAUUUUGACGUUACCCACAGAAGAAGCACCGGCUAACUCCGUGCCAGCAGCCGCGGUAAUACGGAGGGUGCAAGCGUUAAUCGGAAUUACUGGGCGUAAAGCGCACGCAGGCGGCUUUUUAAGUCGGAUGUGAAAGCCCCGGGCUCAACCUGGGAAUUGCAUCUGAUACUGGGAAGCUAGAGUAUGUGAGAGGGGGGUAGAAUUCCAAGUGUAGCGGUGAAAUGCGUAGAGAUUUGGAGGAAUACCAGUGGCGAAGGCGGCCCCCUGGCACAAUACUGACGCUCAGGUGCGAAAGCGUGGGGAGCAGACAGGAUUAGAUACCCUGGUAGUCCACGCCGUAAACGAUGUCUACUAGAUGUUCGUGGUCUUGUACCGUGAGUAUCGCAGCUAACGCAUUAAGUAGACCGCCUGGGGAGUACGGUCGCAAGAUUAAAACUUAAAUGAAUUGACGGGGUCAUAGCUGUUCCU
rnacentral:rRNA from 1 species